rnacentral:rRNA from 1 species
ACAUAAGUAACGAUAAAGCGGGUGAAAAGCCCGCUCGCCGGAAGACCAAGGGUUCCUGUCCAACGUUAAUCGGGGCAGGGUGAGUCGACCCCUAAGGCGAGGCCGAAAGGCGUAGUCGAUGGGAAACGGGUUAAUAUUCCCGUACUUGGUGUUACUGCGAAGGGGGGACGGAGAAGGCUAUGUUGGCCGGGCGACGGUUGUCCCGGUUUAAGCGUGUAGGUGUGUGUUCCAGGUAAAUCCGGUUCACUUUAACACUGAGGCGUGACGA